rnacentral:rRNA from 1 species
GACGUAGGGUGCAAGCGUUAUCCGGAUUUACUGGGCGUAAAGAGCGCGUAGGCGGCUCGUUAAGUGUAGAGUGAAAUCUUCGGGCUCAACCCGAAAACUGCUCUGCAUACUGGCGAGCUUGAGGGGCACAGAGGCAACUGGAAUUCCUGGUGAAGCGGUGAAAUGCGUAGAUAUCAGGAGGAACACCGGUGGCGAAGGCGGUUCUCUGGGCAUUACCUGACGCUGAGGAGCGAAAGUGUGGGGAGCGAACAGG